rnacentral:rRNA from 1 species
UACGUAAGGGGCAAGCGUUAAUCGGAAUUACUGGGCGUAAAGCGUGCGCAGGCGGUUAUAUAAGACAGAUGUGAAAUCCCCGGGCUCAACCUGGUAACUGCAUUUGUGACUGUAUAGCUGGAGUGCGGCAGAGGGAAAUGGAAUUCCGCGUGUAGCAGUGAAAUGCGUAGAUAUGCGGAGGAACACCGAUGGCGAAGGCAAUCCCCUGGGCCUGCACUGACGCUCAUGCACGAAAGCGUGGGGAGCAAACAGGAUUAGAUACCCUGGUAGUCCACGCCCUAAACGAUGUCAACUGGUUGUUGGGUCUUCACUGACUCACUAACGAAGCCCACGCGUGAAGUUGACCGCCUGGGGAGUACGGCCGCAAGGUUGAAACUCACAGGAAUUGACGGGGACCCGCACAAGCGGUGGAUGAUGUGGUUUAAUUCGAUGCAACGCGAAAAACCUUACCCACCUUUGACAUGUACGGAAGUUACCAGAGAUGGUUUCGUGCUCGAAAGAGAACAGUAACCCAGGUGCUCCAUGGCUGUCGUCAGCUCGUGUCGUGAGAUGUUGGGUUAAGUCCCGCAACGAGCGCAACCCUUGUCAUUAGUUGCUACAUUCAGUUGGGCACUCUAAUGAGACCGCCGGUGACAAACCGGAGGAAGGUGGGGAUGACGUCAAGUCCUCAUGGCCCUUAUAGGUGGGGCUACACACGUCAUACAAUGGCUGGUACAAAGGGUUGCCAACCCGCGAGGGGGAGCUAAUCCCAUAAAACCAGUCGUAGUCCGGAUCGCAGUCUGCAACUCGACUGCGUGAAGUCGGAAUCGCUAGUAAUCGCGGAUCAGAAUGUCACGGUGAAUACGUUCCCGGGUCU